AGAGUUUGAUCCUGGCUCAGAACGAACGUUAGCGGCGCGCCUAACACAUGCAAGUCGAGCGAGAAAGGGCUUCGGCCCCGGUACAGCGGCGCACGGGUGAGUAACACGUAGGUAAUCUACCCCUGAAUGGUGGAUAACCCUCCGAAAGGAGGGCUAAUACAGCAUAAGACCACGGCUUCCUUGGAGGCUGAGGCCAAAGCGGGCCACUUUACAAAAGCUCGCGUUUGGGGAUGAGCCUGCGGCCCAUCAGCUAGUUGGCGGUGUAAAGGACCACCAAGGCUAAGACGGGUAGCUGGUCUGAGAGGAUGAACAGCCACACUGGAACUGAGACACGGUCCAGACUCCUACGGGAGGCAGCAGUGGGGAAUCUUGCGCAAUGGGCGAAAGCCUGACGCAGCGACGCCGCGUGAGUGAUGAAGGCCUUCGGGUUGUAAAGCUCUGUGGGGAGAGAGGA
rnacentral:rRNA from 1 species